UGCCGAGAGGCAGGCGGCCAAGGAUGCUGGUGUGAUUGCUGACAUGAAUGUUUCUAGGAUCAUCAAUGAGCCAACUGUUGCUGCUAUUGCCUGGGGUUUGGACAAGAGGGCGGUGGUACCUUUGAUGGUAGGAGUGGAGUUGGUCCUAGAUAAUAGGGAGCCAUGACUGCCGGAUCUGGCAUGACCCGACUGUUCAUGCUCGCUCUUGAGGAGAUAAAUUUUUAUGUGUUCACAUAUAUCCAUGUGAUUAUUGCAGCAUCUGGGAAGGUUGUUGAGCCGAGCGGAAGCGACAAGUGCUUGCUGCUGUUGUUGAACACUUGAACUAGCAAACAUCUAGCUAGAAGAGUGAGGAGCUUGCUUAUGUGAUUAUUGCAGCAUCUGGGAAGGUUGUUGAGCCGAGCAGAAGCGACAAGUGCUUGCUGCUGUUGUUGAACACUUGAACUAGCAAACAUCUAGCUAGAAGAGUGACGAGCCUGCUUGCAGCAAGACAGGCAUGCACGGCACAUCAGCCAUGAAGUGGUGCCCAACUGCCCAUGGAGUGGACAAGCUACAGGCUAUUCAUUCUUAAAUGAAAUGAAGUUGCUGAUGUAUGUGCGUAAUAGGAUAGUAGGCUUCAGGGUGUAUAGAUUGAUUCAUUGGAUACUACUGUGAGUGAUCAUAGUGAUGUUGAAGAUGUUGGGUAGAUAGAUUGAUUCAUUGGCUACUACCAUGAGUGUCCAUUUUCUUAUACGAUUUGUCUUUUAUUUUUGUGUGUAACACCAAACCUGUCUGAUCACUGGCAUAUGUUUAUGAAAGCAUCGCUCAGCUUAGAGAGAAAAUGUCUAUCUGUUUCGUUAUACAGAUUGGUAGGAAAGGUAAUGGGGUCGCCCAUGACCUUGCUGCUAUUAGUAGG